CUCAUUGUUAGUGCUACCUAAAUUUGCUUUAUAGUCUCUGGUGGUUAGUCAUUCCUUAUAAAUGUCAAUAGUGAGUUUAACAUAGCUUGCAUCUAUUCUGGUAUGUGUCUUCUCACAAGAAAUGUGUUAUUCACUUAUGCCAUCCAACUUGUAUGUUUUGAGUUAUUACCCUCUAUAUGACAUACAUACCCUCAAAGUGUCCACAUUCAGGAGGGACAGAGCCUAUUUUGGGUCCAAAUGUCUCUCUUUUCUAGGAGCUCCAUAUUGUUGGUGUGCCUGAGUGUAAACCAAAGCUCCAUUAUAAUAAAACAUUCAGCAAUGUGUCUUUAAACUACAGUAAAUGUGUUUAGAAAUCAAUCUGUAUAAAUAAGAUACAUUGUUCCC